rnacentral:lncRNA from 1 species
UGAAACCACGCAUCAGAUUCUCUUGAUUGUUCCGUGGGUGAGAUUGAUGCGGGUAGCAGUACAGACCAAACCUGAGAAGCAAAACAACAAUCACGAAGAACAUGCGAGAGAGAUUGAGGAUAGGAGAGACAAAAGGAUCACUUUAGAAACAACAGACUUUGCAGGAUGAAAAACACGUUUGUUGCGAGCUUGCCAGAGAAUCCAGAGAGUAACUCCAGCUAACUGUCGGUCCGACG